AGAGUUUGAUCCUGGCUCAGAUUGAACGCUGGCGGCAGGCCUAACACAUGCAAGUCGAGCGGUAGAGAGAAGCUUGCUUCUCUUGAGAGCGGCGGACGGGUGAGUAAUGCCUAGGAAUCUGCCUGGUAGUGGGGGAUAACGUUCGGAAACGGACGCUAAUACCGCAUACGUCCUACGGGAGAAAGCAGGGGACCUUCGGGCCUUGCGCUAUCAGAUGAGCCUAGGUCGGAUUAGCUAGUUGGUGAGGUAAUGGCUCACCAAGGCGACGAUCCGUAACUGGUCUGAGAGGAUGAUCAGUCACACUGGAACUGAGACACGGUCCAGACUCCUACGGGAGGCAGCAGUGGGGAAUAUUGGACAAUGGGCGAAAGCCUGAUCCAGCCAUGCCGCGUGUGUGAAGAAGGUCUUCGGAUUGUAAAGCACUUUAAGUUGGGAGGAAGGGUUGUAGAUUAAUACUCUGCAAUUUGACGUA
rnacentral:rRNA from 1 species